AGCUACCAUGCAAGUCGAGCGCACUCUUCGGAGUGAGCGGCGGACGGGUUAGUAACGCGUGGGAAUAUACCCUUUACUACGGAAUAGCCUUUGGAAACGAAGAGUAAUACCGUAUACGCCCUUCGGGGGAAAGAUUUAUCGGUAAAGGAUUAGCCCGCGUCUGAUUAGAUAGUUGGUGGGGUAACGGCCUACCAAGUCUACGAUCAGUAGCUGGUUUGAGAGGAUGAUCAGCAACACUGGGACUGAGACACGGCCCAGACUCCUACGGGAGGCAGCAGU
rnacentral:rRNA from 1 species